UCAAAAGUCCUUCCCGCAUCCCUGGUC
rnacentral:piRNA from 1 species